AUGAUGGAAAGAGAGGACAGAUAUGUUAGAUUUCAGGACUGGAGAUCAGAGCAAUCUGUUAACUCAGAGAACACAGUUUCACCACGCAGACAUAGUGUAUUUAGAUCACUUAAAGAAAGAACUGGUGGAUUAUUUGCAUUCCUUGGAAACUUAUUCCAUUUUAAAACCUUGAAGAGAUCAAUGCUGGAAGACUGGAAGUCCACGCAAAAUGUUUUUCACCCACAAGGACCAUUUCUGCAAAGAUGGAACAAGAUAUUUGUGUUAUCAUGUAUUUUUGCAGUCUCUGUGGACCCAUUGUUCCUCUAUAUCCCGGUUAUCAGUGAUAAAAAUCCUUGCUGGUAUUUGGAUAGGAAGAUGAAAAUCAUUGCAAGUGUCCUGCGCUCUUUCACAGAUAUAUUUUAUGUACUCCAUAUCAUAUUCCAGUUUCGGACAGGCUUUAUCACGUCUUCCUCUACAAAUUUUGGUAGGGGUGUAUUGGUUGAGGAUAGAUAUGCUAUAGCAAAGCGGUAUCUGUCAACAUAUUUUCUGAUUGAUGUCUGUGCUGUUCUACCCCUCCCUCAGGUGAUCAUUUUGGUCGUUCUGCCUCCUCUUCAGGGCUCAAAGUUCAUGAAAGCGAAAAACAUCUUGAUGAUUAUAGUUAUAUGCCAAUAUGUACCUCGGCUAAUCCGAAUAAGGCCAUUAUAUCUUCAAAUCACUAGAUCUGCUGGGAUAAUUACAGAGACAGCAUGGGCUGGUGCUGCCUUCAAUCUAAUAAUUUACAUGCUUGCUAGUCAUGUCCUUGGAGCAGUUUGGUACUUGCUUUCUAUUCAACGCAAAGAUGCCUGCUGGAAACAGAAAUGUAGUCUAAAUCCUGACUGUAACCCUGCAUAUCUAUACUGUGGGAAUGGUAAUACGAAUGCUGAAAAUGUUUUCUUACGGAGUGUUUGCAAUCCAAGUAUAACCACAGACAAUCUUCCAGACCCACUCUUUGGAAUCUAUCUGCCAGCUAUAAAUAAUGUUUCGCAAUCAACAAAUUUCUUCGCAAAAUUAUUUUACUGUGUCUGGUGGGGUCUGCAAAAUCUCAGUUCGCUUGGCCAAAACCUCAAAACAAGCACUUAUGCUUGGGAGAAUUUGUUUGCAGUUUUUGUCUCAAUAUCCGGCUUAGUUCUGUUUUCACUUCUGAUCGGUAAUAUGCAGACCUAUUUGCAGUCAGCUACUCUGAGAAUAGAAGAAACGAGAGUGAAAAGCCGCGACACAGAUCAAUGGAUGUCAUAUCGGCUUCUUCCUGAUAACCUCAAGGAGCGAAUACGGCGUUAUGAACAAUAUAGAUGGCAAGAGACAAGCGGGGUUGAUGAAGAGCACCUCCUGAUGAACCUCCCCAAGGAUCUUAGAAGGGCUAUAAAACGACAUCUUUGUUUAUCACUUCUCAAGAGGGUUCCAAUGUUUGAAAAAAUGGAUGAUCAGCUCUUGAAUGCCUUGUGCGACUGCCUAAAGCCUGUUUUGUACACAGAAGGUGGCUGCAUCGUUCGUGAGGGGGAUCCAGUAAAUGAAAUGUUCUUUAUCACGAGAGGAAACCUCAUGAGCAUGACGACAAACGGUGGGAAAACUGGCUUCUUCAACUCUGAUGUUCUGAAAAGCGGAGAUUUCUGUGGUGAGGAGCUUCUUACCUGGGCUCUUGAUCCCAACUCAGCAACCAGUCUCCCCAUCUCAACCAGGACAGUGAAGUCAAUGUCUGAAGUCGAAGCUUUUGCUUUGAUGGCUGAAGACCUGAAGUUUGUGGCCACACAGUUUCGACGGCUACACAGCAAACAGCUCCGGCACACCUUCAGGUUCUAUUCGCAGCAGUGGAGAACUUGGGCCGCUUGUUUCAUACAAGCGGCCUGGCACAGGCGCUGCAGAAAGAAGAUGGAAGAUGCUCUGCGCGAGAAGGAGGAAAGGCUGCAACUCGCGAUUGUGAAUGACGGUUCCACUCCGCUCAGCUUCGGUGCGGCAAUAUACGCUUCACGUUUUGCUCGCAACAUGAUGCGGAUCUUGAGGAGAAAUGCCACCCGGAAGGCCCGGCUGCAGGAAAGGGUGCCCGCAAGGCUGUUGCAGAAGCCAGCAGAACCCAACUUUUCUGCAGAGGAGCAGUAG
rnacentral:rRNA from 1 species